GAUGAACGCUGGCGGCGUGCCUAAUACAUGCAAGUCGAGCGAAUGGAUUAAGAGCUUGCACUUAUGAAGUUAGCGGCGGACGGGUGAGUAACACGUGGGUAACCUGCCCAUAAGACUGGGAUAACUCCGGGAAACCGGGGCUAAUACCGGAUAAUAUUUUGAACUGCAUGGUUCAAAAUUGAAAGGCGGCUUCGGCUGUCACUUAUGGAUGGACCCGCGUCGCAUUAGCUAGUUGGUGAGGUAACGGCUCACCAAGGCAACGAUGCGUAGCCGACCUGAGAGGGUGAUCGGCCACACUGGGACUGAGACACGGCCCAGACUCCUACGGGAGGCAGCAGUAGGGAAUCUUCCGCAAUGGACGAAAGUCUGACGGAGCAACGCCGCGUGAGUGAUGAAGGCUUUCGGGUCGUAAAACUCUGUUGUUAGGGAAGAACAAGUGCUAGUUGAAUAAGCUGGCACCUCGACGGUACCUAACCAGAAAGCCACGGCUAACUACGUGCCAGCAGCCGCGGUAA
rnacentral:rRNA from 1 species